GUAGGGAAUAUUGGACAAUGGGGGGAACCCUGAUCCAGCCAUGCCGCGUGGAGGAAGACUGCCCUCUGGGUUGUAAACUCCUUUUAUAUGGGAAGAACCGUCCUCAUUAAUGAGUGACCUGACGGUACCAUAGGAAUAAGCACCGGCUAACUCCGUGCCAGCAGCCGCGGUAAUACGGAGGGUGCAAGCGUUAUCCGGAUUCACUGGGUUUAAAGGGUGCGUAGGCGGAUAAAUAAGUCAGUGGUGAAAUCAACGGGCUCAACCUGUUAACUGCCAUUGAUACUGUGUAUCUUGAAUAUGAGAGAGGUAGGCGGAAUGUUGCAUGUAGCGGUGAAAUGCUUAGAUAUGCUACGGAACACCGAUUGUGAAGGCAGCUUACUAUUUCGUAAUUGACGCUGAGGCACGAAAGCGUGGGUAGCGAACAGGAUUAGAAACCCUGGUAGUCC
rnacentral:rRNA from 1 species